rnacentral:rRNA from 1 species
GUAUGGGAGCAAUAAGGUCUACGUGUAGAUCGAUGAGAGUACCAUACGAAUAAGCAUCGGCUAACUCCGUGCCAGCAGCCGCGGUAAUACGGAGGAUGCGAGCGUUAUCCGGAUUUAUUGGGUUUAAAGGGUGCGUAGGCGGUUGUAUAAGUCAGCGGUGAAAUUUUCCGGCUUAACCGGGAGACUGCCGUUGAUACUGUAUAGCUUGAAUACGGUUGCUGUGAGUGGAAUGUGUGGUGUAGCGGUGAAAUGCAUAGAUAUCACACAGAAUAUCGAUUGCGAAGGCAGCUCACAAAGCCGUUAUUGACGCUGAUGCACGAAAGUGUGGGGAUCAAACAGGAUUAGAUACCCUGGUAGUCCACACUGUAAACGAUGAUAACUAGCUGUCGGCGAUACAUAGUCGGUGGCCAAGCGAAAGCGAUAAGUUAUCCACCUG